AACACGAAAAAGAAAAAAAAGAAGAAAAAGUUGAGCACGAAAAAGAAGAUGGAAAAACUCACUCACCUCACGUCUCUCUCUCUCCCCCACUCAUUUUACUCCACCCACUCUUCUCUCUCUCUCUCUUUCAUAAUAAUGACUAACCCUCUUCUCUUUCUGAUCACUCAAAUUCUCUUUUCAAAAAAAUAAUAAAACGAAAAGAACAAAACUCUUCAUCUUCCUUUCUCUCCACCUCACCUUCUUCCAUCACCAUCACAAAUCUGACUCUCCAAGUAAAUCUUCAUCUUCGCUUCUCCACCUUUGUUUAACCUAACGAAACACCGCGCGCCGCCGCGAUUACAUGCACAACCAAGCACUUCCCUCCUCUCACACACCCUUCACGAUAACCAUCCUUCAUUUUCCGAUAACCCAAACCCUCAGUCACCGGCGAAACCCUCAGAGCAACCACCAUCUCCGUCCGCGUCAAAGCAACGACCUCCAUACCUCCAUCCUCCAUCGAAACGCGCCACGAUCCGAAUCACACAAACAACCUUCACAACCAUGACAAUACCACAUCCCUUGAUGUUUUCUAGAUGAUUGAAAGCGUUUUAAAAUUAUCUACUUCCUAGAUUUGGUUGUUGAUGGUCCGAUGGCGACUUAAAUGCACAAUAGAGCUUUGAGCUCAAUCCAUGGACAUUUCUGCUUGGGCGAGAACAAGGGAGAAAACCUCAUGUUUUCUGGAAGGACGUGAGCGAUAAAGCACAGAAGCAACCACAUCAAUCCUUGGACAAUCGGUUAUGAAAUAUUGGUUCAUGUUGCAAAUGUAUGGUGAGGCGUUGAAAAUAUGUUGCUUGCAACACUUGUGAUAUUGUGCCAGUAAAUGAAGAAUUGGAAAAAGAGAUCUUAUUUAGUUGUUUUUAUAUAACAUUAAUUUAGCAUGAUUGGUUAAUUGUUUUUUUGAGACUUGAGUUUAAAAUUCAGAUUUUGAGUCAUUUGAAUGGUUAAGAGAUGGGCUCGUUCUUUUACUAGCUUAGUGUAUCCUGGCUUUACUAAUAAUAAAUUUCCAUAUGUUGUAUUAAAUUUGUAAGGAUGUGUGCGAUUGAUGUUUCUGUUUGCGUUGCUUGAUAGAAUUUAUAAUCAAUGGACUCGACAAUAUAUGUCGUUAUGCCACCAAAAACCCAAUAUAUCAAUAGAAUAUUUUCACCGCGUUUGGAUCUUGCGAAUCA